rnacentral:rRNA from 1 species
UACAGAGGGGGCUAGCGUUAUUCGGAAUUAUUGGGCGUAAAGAGCUCGUAGGCGGUUUGUCGCGUCUGCUGUGAAAACUCGGGGCUCAACCCCGAGCUUGCAGUGGAUACGGGCAGACUAGAGGCAGGUAGGGGAGAAUGGAAUUCCCGGUGUAGCGGUGAAAUGCGCAGAUAUCGGGAGGAACACCGGUGGCGAAGGCGGUUCUCUGGGCCUGGCCUGACGCUGAGGAACGAAAGCGUGGGGAGCGAACAGG